rnacentral:tmRNA from 2 species
GGGCCCGUCUUUGGUUUCGACAGGGAUAGGGAAGGUAGAACUGCAAGUCGGAGGGACACGUCAAGUCCAAACUUAAAUAUAACUGGAAACAGAAAUUCUAAUUUAGUACCUUCAUUUGCCUAAGGCUAUAGGUACACUCUUUUAACUUCUUUGCUCACGGGGAGUUUUAAGGGUUCGCUUUUAGUGAGAUUAGUUAUUACUUAGCCUAGAAGUAAUAAUGAAUUAGAUAGGCUUGCUUAAAGAUUAGGUUGUUAGUUACCGUUCUUUUAGGACUUCUAAUAACUAACUAAACUUGUAGAGGUUUUAUUGGAACUUUCUUUGGACAGGAGUUCGACUCUCCUCGGGUCCACCA